rnacentral:rRNA from 1 species
UACGGAGGGUGCAAGCGUUAUCCGGAUUCACUGGGUUUAAAGGGUGCGUAGGAGGGCAGGGAAGUCCGUGGUGAAAUCUCCGAGCUUAACUCGGAAACUGCCGUUGAUACUAUCUGUCUUGAAUCCCGUGGAGAUGAGCGGAAUAUGUCAUGUAGCGGUGAAAUGCUUAGAUAUGACAUAGAACACCAAUUGCGAAGGCAGCUCGUUACACGAAGAUUGACUCUGAGGCACGAAAGCGUGGGGAUCAAACAGG